GCGGGCGUGGCGGAACUGGUAGAUGUGCUGGAUUCAAAAUCCUGUUCUGGUGACAGAGUGCCGGUUCGAUUCCGACCGCCCGCACCA
rnacentral:tRNA from 1 species